UCUUGAUGGGUUGGAUCUUAUCUCUAAAGAAUAUAAGAGAUGUGUAUAGUUGCAGCAUCUCUUUGUGAGUACAAGGAAGGUCAGCUGCUGGCUUGUGUGAAUUUAUAUCUUAGCAGUAAUAGUUGCCGAGUUGUCAUGUGACCUGAAAAAUACCGGCCCAGUGAUUUCUGGCUGGUUCAAACAUGGAAAAUGUUUUAGUCAGGAUCAAACAUCACUGCAGACAUUAGAAGUUCAGUGUGUCAGUGACAUUGAUAUGGUGUAAGCAACUAGCCAAAGAGUGAUGACGUCUUUCAUUUUCUAUUAUUAUGUUUUAUGUCUUUAAUAGCUAAAGGGAGGACCGAAAUAAUUACUUAAAUUUGUAUAUCUGGUGUUUCCCUUAGAUGCUACUGCAAUUUUGGAACGGAGUCUUGUGGUCUGACAUAAAUACGCCCCCCCCCCCCCAAAUUAUUCAAAUAUAUAAUGAGAGUUUGUCCAAUUCUUUUAAUAUAGUGGCAUGUUUCUCGGCCUCAAUGGGGAAAAUGGUAUGCUUUACUGUUAUAGUUACAUUCAAACUGUCCAUGCUAAAUCAGCUUAUAUCUAUGCACGUCUUCAUAGAACCUGUAAUUUUUUUCUUUUCUGUUCCUUAUUUCUUACUCGCUUACUCACUAAGCAUGGUAUCAUUGGAAACAACUUUGCCAGUUCUGUAAAUCCCAGGAGUUGAAGUCCAAGUAAAUGAUCUAAAAAAGCAUUAUUAAAAUUAAAUAAAUCACUGAAUCUGGAAGGGAUCAAAUCACUGAAUCACAGAAUGACCUGCUGUUGCAUUUGUGUGGAUUGACAUGCAUGUUUUCGUUGUUCCUUGAGGUUGUGAAAGCCCUAAUGUGUAAGCCUUUUGAAUAAUGCCACUGUAAUUCGAGGAUGACUAUGACAUGGUUUCGAAUUUGACUGGAAUUUUUAGGGUGCUUCAUUCACUCAUGAUGUAAGUUAGACCUAAAUUCUAUGGCAUGUCCAUUAUUGAUGUAGUGAAAGUUAAAAUCUGGGAAAAAUAUAUGGUCUCAUGAUGCAAGUUUUUUUUUUGAAACUCUCAUGAUGCAAGUUAGUCCAUCCUAGGAGUUAUUGGUUUAUGUUUACUGGGUUGCAACAUCUAUGUUGGUUGCAAUAAAAGUUGUCUUGUCAUUUUUUUAAAAAAAUUGUUCAUAUGUUCUGAUGGAGACUUGAAAAUAUCAGGUGCAGGCCAUAUCAAUUUGUU
rnacentral:lncRNA from 1 species